ensembl:lncRNA
CAGGCUCCCACUUCAUCUCGGGAAAGUACCCCCAGCACUGAACCUUCAGGGACUGGAGGAUGGAUGCCAAGGAGCCUCUAGCAUCUCUCUUUGCCAAAUGAGCAGUUGGUGCCGAGAGGACCUCCCGGCCGCCCCCCUUUCUUGGGGCCAUGGUGUCACUGCUGUGGGUGUCAGUGGCAUGUCAGCACUGUGAGCAGCAAGCUUGUGGGGUGACAUGCAACGCCCAUUUGCACGUUUCCCAGCAGACGUGCCCAGGGCUGCGGUGCACCCUCGGAUAAGGACACUGAAGCCCGAGAGUCGUCCUCCCCCGUCAUCGCCCGCCCACCCUGAGGUGGUGCAGGAGAGGCCCCAACUGCUUUCAGCUUGCCUUUCAUGAUUCUGCCUUGUCCACAGCCUGGUUUCUAUCAGUCAGCAUCCAACCAAGAAAACCAGAAAAGUAUAUAUAUUUAAAACAGAGGGGUUUUAAUCCAGGAAAUUGUUUAACUGAGAAAUAAGAAGACCUGAGAUGCCACUGAGGGGUAACCGGAAACGGGGAACGACAGAGCUGGUGGGACCAGAUCCUGGGGGUCAGGACACUGGGUGGAGCCUGGGUCUGCAGAGGGCUAUGUGGUGGGAGCUGAAGCCAUGAGGAGACCUGGGCCCUGCCAGAAACAUACGCCCCCACACCCCACCCCAGGCAAAGCGGGAGCACAAACAGCCUGGCUUCUCCCUUCCCCAUGCCUUCCAGAUUUCUGCGUUAGCUAAAUGCAGCUGGAAGCCAGCUGACCUGGGAGCUGGGGACAGGCCAACUGCAGUCAGGCCCCUGCAGUCAGUCCCCAGAGCAGAGCAGGGGAAGGCGAGUGGUAGGUCAGAGGCCAAGCAGUCCCAGGACACGCGUGGCCCUGGCCCUCUCUCUGGCAUGUCCAGGCCCACUGUGGAUUCCCCGUGCUGUCCUAGGACCCGGGACCUUCCACUAGCCCGUGGAAGUGCUCUUCAGCCUCUGGAGAACCCACAUGUUGGAUCGUUUCCUGGCCCCCACCUCCUUAGAGGCUUGCAGUAGAGUGUCCUGACUCAGGCCAGACUGCCACUUACUACUGGAUCACCGUGGGCAAGUUACUCAACCUCUCUGUGUCUCAGUUUAUUCAUCUGUAAGAUGGGAUCAUAGUAUGUACCUCACAGAACUAACUAAAUUAGUGUGUGUAAAGUGC